rnacentral:lncRNA from 1 species
GUUGUAACAUCAUUGAUUUUCCUGUUUUGCCCAACACCUACAAAUAUCUUUCUAAAAUUAAUUUACUGCAGAUUGAUGGUUGUAAGAGGAAUCUAGGUGAAAUUCGGUAAAUAAAUACAUGGUCAGAUUCUGAAGAAAGAUAUAUCAUAUACACCUUUCAUUUCUUAAGAACUUGUGAAGAUCUAUGGGAGUUGUGGUGCACUUGAGCCACGUCUCCUCAUUAUCCUCAUUCUUAGUGAUCCUAGUAGUGAUCACCAAGUUGGUGCUUAUUUAGUUAUUUCCAAGGUGCUUAUAAUUGUCUCCCUUUUGAGUUGCCAAUGAUUUACAACCUACUUGAAUCCUUUUGCAGCCUACAAGGAAGCUACACUAGAAAAUAUACCAUCUGUUGCUUGUUAUGAAACUGAUAUCAAACCCUGAGAUAUUAUCUUUUUCAUUUCUCCCCAUUUUUUGCCCUCAAAUCCUAAGAGGCUUCUGCAUCUACCCGGUUUCCUCCUAAGCGGAACUAACAUCACAUGUAACUCCGUAGUGUUUCUACAAAUUACUAAUUUGUUUUUAAUGUUUGUUACUCUGGAACUAGUAUAUCCUUAGAUAAGUGAUAAAAAUGGUAGUUUUUCUUAUGUUCACAUCCGGUGUCUUUUAUCUUUGUGACUGGUGAAACUGGAAUUGCAAAGUACUUUGGUUUUGGCUUUCUCUACAAAGAAGGUUGUUUGCAAGUGCUCGGGGAGCUACUUUGAUUUAGGUAUCUCUCUCUCUUUUCAUGUGGAUUAUUUGGCUCCUUUCCAUUACAUCCAAUCUAUAGUUACUCUCAUAGAAGUUGAGCUGAAUUACAUCUGUCUUGUCCAAGAUCCAAAGGUACAAACAAACUUAUUCAUGGUGUAGCUUUUUUACUUUAUUAUCUCGCCAAGUUGAUACUAUACAAUAGGCUUAUUGUACCUUUGUUCCUAAUAUGGAUACAUGUGGGUGUCUAUAUGCUUUUCAAGAAUUUGAAGUCCUUUUAUUAAUUUUUUUUAUAUUAUUCUUUUUACAGAUCAUGAAUUAUGUCUGAAGAACUUGUCAUGAGAGCAAGUGCUGAGAAAGUAUAAGCAAUUGAAAUGUUAAAAGAACAAGUUGAAGAAUUAGAGAGACCUACUGUUGUGUUAGUAUUUGUUUAGAAAUGUUCUCAUUUGUAAAUGCCACAAUUCUAUCUCUUUAUUAGGCCUUUAUUGGAAGAUUGUUAUGCUUUGGAUGGGUAUAUUUUUUGGUAAUGUUAUGCUUCUGUAUUUGUAAUUGACC